ACAGAUGCACCAGUGAGACAGAGCGGGAACGUAUCAAGAAGGCAGGCGGAACGGUCACGUGUCACAAGGGCCAGUUUCGGCUGAACGGAGCCCUGAGUGUAUCAAGAUCUCUAGGAGACACAGAGUACCGACCUGGCCUGACUGCAGUGCCUGAGGUGACACACACCCAGCUCACCGGGACAGAGGAGUACCUGGUGCUCGGAUCUGACGGCUUCUUCGAUCAACUGUCACUGGAAUCCAUCCGACACUCCGUCUAUCUCAGCUACAUGGCUGUAUGUAUCAUCCACAACGUAUGGUUAUUGUGAUAGAAUCUGUACCUGUCUGGUGGCAACAACUCAAAGGAGACACAAUGGCUGCUUGGACAACGUUGCCAACGACCUGUUCAUACGCGCAAAGAAUGCCGGUGCCAGCGACAACAUCACGAUCAUCACGAUCUUCUUCACGGACCAGCUGUCGCGCCCGUACAAGUCGGAGAACGAGCUGGGCAGACUCAGCCGGUUGUCGCAUUUCGCGCAGUGGGAGGAUGAGGAAGACGAAAGCAGCGGAAGUGACAGUGAGGACAGCGAGAUCGACUUCUUGAUCCAGACCAGCGACGAGCCCUUGAUCGACCUCCUCAGCCCUGUUGGCGAAAGCUCGCACCUUGAUGUCGUAUCCCCUCCUCUGUUUGUGCCUGACGCCGCUUCAGACACCUCCGUGGAAACAAGUACCGG